rnacentral:misc_RNA from 1 species
UCCGGUUUGGCACCGGCAGUCCUCCCAGAGUCCCCGCCAUGACGCGCUGGCAACUGGGAGCGGGGGUUGCGCUCGUUGCGGGACUUAACCCAACAUCUCACGACACGGGCUGACGACAGCCAUGCAGCACCUGUCUUGGGGCUCCCGAAGGCACCCCCACAUCUCUGCGGGGUUCCCCAGAUGUCAAGGGCAGGUAAGGUUCUUCGCGUUGCAUCGAAUUAAACCACAUGCUCCACCGCUUGUGCGGGCCCCCGUCAAUUUCUUUGAGUUUUAACCUUGCGGCCGUACUCCCCAGGCGGGACACUUAACGCGUUAGCUUCGGCACCCAGGGGGUCGCUCCCCCAGGCACCUAGUGCCCAUCGUUUACGGCGUGGACUAC